UUAAUAGUAGUAUAAUAAGUAUAUCUUCCUUCCAAGAAGAGGGCCCAAAUAAAUUUGGCUAUUAAA
rnacentral:tRNA from 1 species